GACGAACGCUGGCGGCGUGCCUAACACAUGCAAGUCGAACGGAGUGGCGAACGGGUGAGUAACACGUGGGUGAUCUGCCUUGCACUUCGGGAUAAGCUUGGGAAACUGGGUCUAAUACCGGAUAGUGCAAGAUGAGCUCGCGGCCUAUCAGCUUGUUGGUGGGGUAAUGGCCUACCAAGGCGUCGACGGGUAGCCGGCCUGGGAGGGUGUACGGCCACAUUGGGACUGAGAUACGGCCCAGUCUGCUACGGGAGGCAGCGGUGGAGAAUCUUGCACAGUGGGCGGAAGCCUGAUGCAGCGACGCCGGGUUGGGAAUGAAGGCUUGCGAGUUGUAAACACCUUUCGACAGGGACGCGGCACCUAUAUAAGAAGCACCGGCUAACUACGUGCCAGCAGCCGCGGUAAUUC
rnacentral:rRNA from 1 species